UAGCCCUGAAAAUGGAUGGCGCUCAAGCGUCGCACCCAUACUCUGCCGUCGGGGCAAGAGCGAGGCCCCGACGAGUAGGAGGGCGCGGUGGUGGUGAUGCAGCCUUUGGCGUGAGCCUGGGUCAAACCGCCGCUGGUGCAGAUCUUGGUGGUAGUAGCAAAUAUUCAAAUGAGAGCUUUGAAGACUGAAGUGGAGAAAGGUUCCAUGUGAACAGCAGUUGGACAUGGGUUAGUCGGUCCUAAGAGAUAGGGUAACUCCGUUUGAAAAGUGUGCAGUCCUUCGGGUGUGCACCGUCCUGUCGAAAGGGAAUCGGGUCAAUAUUCCCGAACCGGAACACGGAUGUGGUGCUUUCGGGCACCAAAGCGGCAACGCAAACGAACUCGGAGACGCCGGCGGGAGCCCCGGGAAGAGUUCUCUUUUCUUCUUAACAUGCUGUCACCCUGAAAUCGGUUUGCCCGGAGAUAGGGUCACAUGCCUGGUAAAGCGCCACACCUCUUGUGGCGUCCGGUGCGCUCUCGACGGCCCGUGAAAAUCCGAGGGAGCAGAUGAUUAUCGUGUCCGGCCGUACUCAUAACCGCAGCAGGUCUCCAAGGUGAACAGCCUCUAGUCGAUGGAACAAUGUAGGUAAGGGAAGUCGGCAAAAUAGAUCCGU
rnacentral:rRNA from 1 species